rnacentral:rRNA from 1 species
CCUACGGGAGGCAGCAGUGGGGAAUAUUGGGCAAUGGAGGAAACUCUGACCCAGCAACGCCGCGUGAGUGAAGAAGUAUUUCGGUAUGUAAAGCUCUAUCAGCAGGGAAGAAAGGAAUGACGGUACCUGACUAAGAAGCCCCGGCUAACUACGUGCCAGCAGCCGCGGUAAUACGUAGGGGGCAAGCGUUAUCCGGAUUUACUGGGUGUAAAGGGAGCGUAGACGGUUACGCAAGUCUGGAGUGAAAGGCGGGGGCCCAACCCCCGGACUGCUUUGGAAACUGUAUAACUGGAGUGCAGGGGAGGUAAGUGGAAUUCCUAGUGUAGCGGUGAAAUGCGUAGAUAUUAGGAGGAACACCAGUGGCGAAGGCGGCUUACUGGACUGUAACUGACGUUGAGGCUCGAAAGCGUGGGGAGCAAACAGGAUUAGAUACCCCAGUAGUC